GGAGAGCGAGGGGGACGGAACUGCUCUUUUUCACAUGGGAGGGGACAAAACCAAAAAGACUUGGGGGUAUAUCACGACUUCCUCCCGCGGCGCCGACCUCCGCAUCCUCCAGCCCAGAGCCUCUGCAGAAAUUCAAAUGCAAAGGCUGUCGCGCUCUUAACGUCUAUAAAAUUUGUCCGGAAAGUGUCCACCAGAGGCACAAUCCACCUGCGCCGUGGGGUGGGGGUGGGAGUGGGAGAAGAUCCGGGAUGCUGCACCCCUCGCAGGGAACAGGAUCUUUUACGGAGGUCUGCCCAGCCUUUCUGCUUCUCGAGGCUUAGGAUCACUGCCGCUUACCGCAGGACAAGGAGCUGCAGGCUUUUGCCAAGCAGGUGGCUGCGGACGCGAGGCGAGGAGAGAGGCAGGGGGUGGACUUCCCACGUCGCUGGGGUCCAGCCAUAUGCAGGGAAUGCAAAAGGACUGGGGUGGGAGUGACACCCAAGAGAGAGGAGGUGGAGUGGGUGAACCCGAGCGACUGGAGGGUUGGUUGGCUCCCUCACCCCGCCCCCCCCCCGCCCCCCCAAUGUGAGCAACGAGUCCUGUGCUCUGAGCAAAGGUGCCUUAAACACUUGACUCUCUGGACAAGUUUGCCCAGGGGCAGCAAGGCGGCAGCAGAGCCCCUAGUCCCAGAGAAGGAAGGGCAGGGGAAGCUGGAGUUGCCGAGGAGACAAGAAGCGGAGUGGACUCGAAGAUCUGGCCAUGGACCUCAAACUUUGCCUUGGGAAAAGGAGAAGUAACAAUGUGUUGUGAUACAAAAUUCUUGGAUUCUCAGAUUGUAGUUCAAGUCUGUUCAAUAAAAGGAUUGAACACUU